GUCUCUUUGGAGACAUCCGAUAAAAUUGGAAUGAUAAAGAGAAUAUUAGCAUGGCCCCUACACAAGGAUGACAUGCACAUAUUGAGAAAUGGUCCGAAUUUUU
rfam:Picea glauca, whole genome shotgun sequence.